UGAGUUCGCCGGACGACCGCGGCGACUUCGUCGAGGAAAGUCCGGACUCCGCAGAGCGUGACGCUGGGUAACGCCCAGGCGGGGAAACCCGAUGGAAAGUGCAACAGAAAGCAGACCGCCGAUGGCCCACUUGUGGGCACAGGUGAGGGUGAAACGGUGGUGUAAGAGACCACCAGCAUUCCGGGUGACCGGGGUGGCUAGGUAAACCCCGUCAGGAGCAAGGCCAAGACGGAGAGGGUUGCUCGCCCGUUGACACUCCAGGUAGGCCGCAAGAGGGCGGCGGCGACGCCGCUCCCAGACAGAUGGUCGUCACAGUCAAUGGCUGUACAGAAUCCGGCUUACAGGCGAACUCACGCA
rnacentral:RNase_P_RNA from 1 species